AAUGAACGCUGGCGGCGUGCCUAACACAUGCAAGUCGGAUGUGCCGCAAGGUGCAUGGCAGACGGGUGAGUAACGCGUAGGGAAUCUACCUUUUUUUGGGGAAUAACGCUCCGAAAGGAGUGGUAAUACCGCAUGAGACCGUGAGCCGGGAUGUUCACGGUGAAACCUGGGGACCGCAAGGCCUGGGGCAAAAAGAGGAUCCUGCGUCUGAUUAGCUAGUUGGCGGGGUAAUGGCCCACCAAGGCGACGAGCAGUAGCCGGCCUGAGAGGGUGAUCGGCCACACUGGAACUGAGACACGGUCCAGACUCCUACGGGAGGCAGCAGUGGGGAAUUUUGCGCAAUGGGCGAAAGUCUGACGCAGCAACGCCGCGUGGGUGAUGAAGGUCUUCGGACUGUAAAACCCUGUCGUCAGGGACGAAGGUGGCAGUGUUAAUAGCGCUGUUACUUGACGGUACCUGGAGAGGAAGCCCCGGCUAACUCUGUG
rnacentral:rRNA from 1 species